rnacentral:rRNA from 1 species
UACGCUGGCGGCACGCCUAACACAUGCAAGUCGAACGAAGUAGCAAUACUUAGUGGCAGACGGGUGAGUAACAUGUAGGUAUCUACCCUUUGGCCUGGAAUAACACGAGGAAACUUGUGCUAAUACCGGAUAAGUCUUUACGGAGAAAGCUUUAUGCACCAUUGGAUGAGCCUGCACUUGAUUAGUUUGUUGGUAGGGUAAUGGCCUACCAAGACUGUGAUCAAUAGCUGAUUUGAGAGGAUGAUCAGCCACAUUGGGACUGAGACACGGCCCAAACUCCUACGGGAGGCAGCAGUGGGGAAUCUUGCACAAUGGAGGAAACUCUGAUGCAGCGAUGCCGCGUGAGUGAAGAAGGCCUUUGGGUUGUAAAGCUCUUUCGUCGGGGAAGAAAAUGACUGUACCCGAAUAAGAAGGUCCGGCUAACUUCGUGCCAGCAGCCGCGGUAAUACGAAGGGACCUAGCGUAGUUCGGAAUUACUGGGCUUAAAGAGUUCGUAGGUGGUUGAAAAAGUUGGUGGUGAAAUCCCAGAGCUUAACUCUGGAACUGCCAUCAAAACUUUUCAGCUAGAGUUUGAUAGAGGAAAGCAGAAUUUCUAGUGUAGAGGUGAAAUUCGUAGAUAUUAGAAAGAAUACCAAUUGCGAAGGCAGCUUUCUGGAUCAUUACUGACACUGAGGAACGAAAGCAUGGGUAGCGAAGAGGAUUAGAUACCCUCGUAGUCCAUGCCGUAAACGAUGUGUGUUAGACGUUGGAAAUUUAUUUUCAGUGUCGCAGCGAAAGCGAUAAACACACCGCCUGGGGAGUACGACCGCAAGGUUAAAACUCAAAUGAAUUGACGGGGACCCGCACAAGUAGUGGAGCAUGUGGUUUAAUUCGAAGAUACGCGCAGAACCUUACCAACACUUGACAUGUUCGUCGCGACUUUAAGAGAUUAA